rnacentral:rRNA from 1 species
UGGACAAUGGGCGCAAGCCUGAUCCAGCAAUGCCGCGUGCAGGAUGAAGGCCUUCGGGUUGUAAACUGCUUUUGUACGGAACGAAAAGGCUCUUUUUAAUAAAGAGGGCUCAUGACGGUACCGUAAGAAUAAGCACCGGCUAACUACGUGCCAGCAGCCGCGGUAAUACGUAGGGUGCGAGCGUUAAUCGGAAUUACUGGGCGUAAAGCGUGCGCAGGCGGUUUUGUAAGACAGAUGUGAAAUCCCCGGGCUCAACCUGGGACCUGCAUUUGUGACUGCAAGGCUAGAGUACGGUAGAGGGGGAUGGAAUUCCGCGUGUAGSAGUGAAAUGCGUAGAUAUGCGGAGGAACACCGAUGGCGAAGGCAAUCCCCUGGACCUGUACUGACGCUCAUGCACGAAAGCGUGGGGAGCAAACAGGAUUAGAUACCCUGGUAGUCCACGCCCUAAACGAUGUCAACUGGUUGUUGGGUCUUUACUGACUCAGUAACGAAGCUAACGCGUGAAGUUGACCGCCUGGGGAGUACGGCCGNAAGGUUGAAACUCAWAGGA